CAGUGCCUGUGGAGAAUUCUCAGAGAGGCAGGAGCUGCCGGCCCCAAGCCGGGUUUAGUUCCUGUGCACGGCCUCGCAGCAAGUGUACGGCCUGCCAAUAUUUAAUUGGGGGGCACAGUGAUGAGUAAGCGGACGCCAUGUUCUUGUUUCUUCCGUGCCUCUAAGUACAGAAACAUCAGAUAACGGACAGUCACGAACCUGUUUCUAUUUAAUCAAACGCAGUAGAGGGUCUGUCUGCAGAGGAGGCUUGCAGUGCGACUUGGAGCCAAUCACUAACAGCACUGCACUAGUUCCGCAUCAUGAGAAGUGUGCCGACAGUCCUCAUCAUUGCAUGCGCGGGACUGUGCCUUGCAUUGCCUGUGCCUAAUGACGUCAGCAAAGCAGAUGAAUACGAUUACACGUACCCAGAAGAUGACGAGUCAUUCGUUUACCAGCAGAUGAUCUCACCUGAUUGGCACACGCUUCCGAAGGAACUCUUCGGGGCUCAGUACGUCUGGGACACUAAAGGUUUCCCCAAAAGAGUGGAGAACAUCCAAGAAAAACCCCACAGUUCAUCCACCAUCCCGCAAAAGCAGAACAUACAUAGACAUAAAGUUCAGACGGCAGGAGGCAGUGCUGAGGACACUGUCGUGUAAAACGAACGUGUAUUACAGAAUGAGUUAAUAAAAAUGUGAAGAAACAUUUUAUUA